CCUUGGCGUGCGCAGAGGCCCAUAUGACGACACCAGAUGCUGAGAAAAGCCAGAAGCUUUACUGCAAAUCAAUUGCAAGGAGGCAGGAGGUAGACUCGGAUCCGCUUCCCCAGCCGGGAAAGGAAAAGGGUUUAUUUGACUUGGGGAGGCCCCGUUGAGAACAAAGGAGUUAACUUCUAUUGGCUGAAAAGUGGGUUGGGGUAAAGAAAUGUGAACUUGGUCGACGUUCAUUGACAGCGGAGGGGCAGUUCGUACAUGGAGAAGGAUGUCUGUGGGCCGCUGGAGAUCUGAAUCUCUGCGGGGGGGCCCCUCAGCGCCCGGCAGCCUCCAUCCUCCGUGCCUGCAGCCUCCUGGCUGCAGCCAGCCUUGGAGCUCAGCUCAACUUUGGUCACUUCUUGUUCAAGCUGUGUCAUCUGCACCUGUGACUACGAGUCUCGAAGAGGUUGGUGAUGGAGGGGGAGCCUGGGGAUCACAGCCAAGAUGAAUCAGCCCCAGUCCUGAGAAGCUCAAAGCUCAGUGAAGAAUAGGACGUGAAAACCCACCGUCACACAGGACGUCUGGGUCAUUUGCCUCAGACAGUCGAGGGAACUCGGACAGACGCCCUGAGGAUGGAGCCUGUGGCUGUUAGCUGCCCCGGGAACCGGAUGUCGCAGCAGUCAGUGACAUCUCCCUCUGCCGUACAGCAUUUCAACUUCACGCAGCCAAUCGUACACAGCGGAUUAAAAAAAG